AUUAAUUCCGACAACUCUAGAAU
rnacentral:snRNA from 1 species